GGGUUGGCUUAGUGGGUAGAGCAUAGGACUUGCAUGCCUGAGGCCUUGGGUUCAAUCCCCAAUCCA
rnacentral:tRNA from 1 species